CGAGCUGCUGUAUGACCAAGUGUUCGGCCUCAAGUCGGAGUUGGAGGAGGCCGUUAUUUUCCUGGAACUGCAGAAGCCUUUGAGCAGGGACUCGGGCUGUCUGGACUGUGCCCCCGCAGACGUCCUGAACACAGUCGGACCUGACAAAGCUGGAGUGCUUAAGAAACUGUGCGGGGUCUCCUCUCCCCCUGUGCCGUACCGGAUCGCCAAGGCUCUGCACCCGGCCCUCUACCGGAACGUAGAGUUGGACAUUGUCCAGGAGGCG